UACGUAGGGGGCAAGCGUUGUCCGGAAUCAUUGGGCGUAAAGCGCGUGUAGGCGGUCCGGUAAGUCAGCUGUGAAAGUCAAGGGCUCAACCCUUGAAAGCCGGUUGAUACUGUCGGGCUAGAGUCCGGAAGAGGCGAGUGGAAUUCCCGGUGUAGCGGUGAAAUGCGCAGAUAUCAGGAGGAACACCAAUGGCGAAGGCAGCUCGCUGGGACGUGACUGACGCUGAGACGCGAAAGCGUGGGGAGCAAACAGG
rnacentral:rRNA from 1 species